rnacentral:ncRNA from 2 species
AGUGAUAUCGGUGAUGGAGCUCACCAGAAAGCCUCUACAAGAGGAUGAUGGCUCCUGCAAAAGC